rnacentral:lncRNA from 1 species
UUUUUUUUGUAUUCACCACGUAAUCCAAAUGAACCACCAUAUCCAAGCACCGUCACCACAACUGGUAUGAGGUUAUGGCACUGCAAUUGGUGGCUCGGCUAUUGUGAGGUUGUGAUAUGUUUUUUUCUGUUGUACACUAAAACAGAAGUUCUUCACACCCAAAUCAAGUUGGUUUGAGAUUUCAUAGAAGUAUGAAACACUGCCCUGGAUUACUAGAUAUGAAAAUGUAUAGCCCUAGCACGCAAGAGUAAAGAAACACACCCCUAACCAUCAAAGUGUCAUCCCAGAAAUAAUUCAAUGGACAAAGGAACCAGAUUUCGCUAUGAGAUAUAUAAAUAUCCCAACCCUAAAUCACGCAUCCCCGCCAGCAAAUCGAAUCCCCGCACCACCAAACCCUAGCACUGGAAUGCGAG